AUUUAAUUAAAUACAAUAUUAACCCGUCAGCACUCACGUUAUGAGCAUUUUGCUCACGCAACAACAUCCGACUUAUAGAGCGGCGCUGUAGUGCAAGUGAG